rnacentral:rRNA from 1 species
AUUGAACGCUGGCGGCAGGCCUAACACAUGCAAGUCGAGCGGAUGAAGGGAGCUUGCUCCUGGAUUCAGCGGCGGACGGGUGAGUAAUGCCUAGGAAUCUGCCUGGUAGUGGGGGAUAACGUCCGGAAACGGGCGCUAAUACCGCAUACGUCCUGAGGGAGAAAGUGGGGGAUCUUCGGACCUCUCGCUAUCAGAUGAGCCUAGGUCGGAUUAGCUAGUUGGUGGGGUAAAGGCCUACCAAGGCGACGAUCCGUAACUGGUCUGAGAGGAUGAUCAGUCACACUGGAACUGAGACACGGUCCAGACUCCGACGGGAGGCAGCAGUGGGGAAUAUUGGACAAUGGGCGAAAGCCUGAUCCAGCCAUGCCGCGUGUGUGAAGAAGGUCUUCUGAUUGUAAAGCACUUUAAGUUGGGAGGAAGGGCAGUAAGUUAAUACCUUGCUGUUUUGACGGUACCAACAGAAUAAGCACCGGCUAACUUCGUG